rnacentral:tRNA from 1 species
GGAUGAGUGGCCGAGCGGUUUAAGGCUGCAGUCUUGAAAACUGUUGAACCGAAAGGUUCCGUGGGUUCGAAUCCUACCUCAUCCGCCA